rnacentral:rRNA from 1 species
AUUGAACGCUGGCGGCAGGCCUAACACAUGCAAGUCGAACGAGUGGCGGACGGGUGAGUAAUGUCUGGGAAACUGCCCGAUGGAGGGGGAUAACUACUGGAAACGGUAGCUAAUACCGCAUACCAUUGGAUGUGCCCAGAUGGGAUUAGCUAGUAGGUGGGGUAAUGGCUCACCUAGGCGACGAUCCCUAGCUGGUCUGAGAGGAUGACCAGACACACUGGAACGGAGACACGGUGCAGACUCCUACGGGAGGCAGCAGUGGGGAAGAUGGAACAAUGGGCGCGAGCCUGAUGCAGCCAUGCCGCGUGUAUGAAGAAGGACUUCGGGUUGUAAAGUACUUUCAGCGGGGAGGCGUUACCCGCAGAAGAAGCACCGGCUAACUCCGUGCCAGCAGCCGCGGUAAUUC